UGUGGCAUGUGGGAUCUUCCCAGACCAGGGCUCGAACCUGUGUCUCCUGCAUUGGCAGACGGAUCCUUAACCAGUGUGCCACCAGGGAAGUCCCUUCAGGUUUGAUUUUAAACUUUGUUAGGCAGGACCAGAACAGACUUGAAGGCUAAAUUGAUGAUUCUCUUCUUGUUAUAGGAAGAUGGGGCACAAGAGGAUGGUCAUGUCGCAGGUCUUGGGUGAGUCCAUGGGACAGACCGCCAAGUGAAGGUCCUUGGCUUCUCACGGGAAACAAUUCAAGAGCGAGCCAUAGCAAAGUGAAAGCAGUUUAUUUGGAGAGAUGUCUGUUUAUUUACACAGAAUGCGGUCCCUCUCAAAAGGCAGGAGGGUAAAUCUGAUCCCUGUUAAGCCAUCUCAGCUGAACUUGGCCAGGGGAUUAGGCCUGAUCCAAGCUAGCCAGUUGGGUUCUCACUCCUGCAACUGGGAUUCUGCCAUGUGGACACUGUGGACUAAGAAUGCCUCCUGCCACAUCAGUAAACAAAAGAUGCCCGGCCAUCAAGCCAUCAGCCACUGCAGUCACGCCCAAGGGUGCACCCGGAGGAGACUCAAGAUGGAAAAAAACAGGAUACCAGCCCUAGUUAGCUGAGGUGCAUAUCAAAGGAAUGAUAUCAAUGAGCCCAGAACUUUGCAUCUUCCCAUACAUAGAAAAGCACUAAAUUCAUUAACUUGAGAUGUCUGGUUUUCUUUAAUUAACAGUAAUCUUUUGAUGUUCCAAUUACCUGGUUUUUGUUACAAAACUCCUUUAUAUCCUGGCUCUUCCCUUCCCUCUUCAGAGUAGUGCCUCAGAGCCAUCUGAGAGUCCUGUCUCCUAGGCUUGACAUCCUCAGAAAAUCCGCUGAAUAAAACAUAACUCUCAA